ensembl:lncRNA
UGAUAUUUCAGAUGGUAAGAUUUGGGCUCUAAAUAAGCCUGUAAGAGACUUAAAGAGGUGGGAUAGCACAGCGGUGGAGCAAGUACUCAACUAGGAUUCCUGAGAAAUAGAUUUUACUUGUUCUGUGCUCUUUGGUAAAUCAUUUGACUACUUCAAUAUCUUCAAUUGCAGAAAGAAGUAAAUGGGACAAUUGUCACAACACUAUUGUGACAGUUAAGGUGAUAUGCAAAAAUACUGUGAGGAGGACAGUGUUCAGCACACAUAAGCAUUCAAUUAGUACUGGUUAAUUUUAUUUCUAGGCCCCAACAUUCUGACACCCAGUUAGUAUUUUCAGUUAAGACUGUUGGCUGUAGCCUUUCAGAUGAUGGUUAUGAUGGCUUCUUCAACUAGUCGGUCUGUUUCCAGUUUAUCCCUGAAGAUCACAGGCUCAGAAGAUUUGCCAUCAACGUGGGUUAAGAAUUACAUGGAACAGCAGAGGGCGCCCUGCUCCACGUUUCUAGGACUGUAAAGCAAGUACCUGCCCAAUCCUGCCACUUGGAACUUGUGUGAAUGACAGCCGAACCUAAUUUCCACAAGAUCAGGAAGCUGCCUGUCCUCUUUAUUGUUAAAUCUUCAGCAUUAGCACUCAACUGGUCAGUUAUGCGGAAUUCUGGACCGAACUUCAACCAGCUUGUCCUCCAUUACCGAAUGAGUAUAGCUAUUGCUCAUGCUGCUUACGACAGAUAUAGGAACAUAAAGGCCAUCUGAAGGAAGAGAGGUGGUCAAGCUGGGCUCCAGUAACCAUGGGGUUGUAGACGCUUCAAUAAUAAUAAUAAAACGCUAUGACAAAUAAAAACAUGUCCUGCACCCAAUGACUCACAGCUCUAAGCUAAUCCCACAAUGGGCACACCUCAGUAUUAAAAACAUGAGAGAGAGGGAGAAAUACAUUUCCAUGUAUGUCUAUCUGUUUGGUAACCACAACAACCAGCCACAGAUGGGAAGUGACUCCCUAACAAAUAAUUUUGUGUGAAGUUAAGACCAUCCCACUGGCUCCUGAACUGUCACCUGGGGCCUGGAAGAAACAAGUGGCCCUAAGGCUAUUUAGGCUCCUUUAAAAAUGCUAAUCCUCUCCAGUGCCAGCACAAUUCUUUUUGUGGUUAGAGGAUGGCAGCACUAUAGGUGGGAUGGAAAACAACCAGCUAGCAUGAGGUACCCUAGGAGCCAGUCCGAAAUUACAGGGUGAUGCGUCAGGAUCCGGGAAAUAAUGGAUGUGGUGAGUGGGUCAUUCUUUCUCCUUGGCACAAGAGAACACACCUGGAACUCCAGCCUCCAUCCUCGAGGGUCUGAAUGCCAAAGCAAAAUGAACUUUAGAGACACCAGACACAAUCACACCACUUAAUAGAUUAUUAGAAUCAGGACCAGAGAGGGAAGAGACCCAGCCAAGGUCACACAGCAAUUAUGACUGAUGUUUCCAAAAAUAGAUUAUUGCAGAAGUAAAACAAAACUGGAAACAUGUAAACAUCAGGAGCAAUAAUAAACUGAAAUAAUUCAUUCAGUGAAACACCACUUGGUCUUGAAGGAAGAGAGGUUGUCAAUUUGGGCUCCAGAGCUGCUCACCACAGGAUGGAGAGAUUCCAUCUCCCACCUACAUCCACAGCCCUACCCCACCAUUGGGUCUCCCUUUUUCCAUCUCUGACUCUUUUUUUUUUUUUUUUGAUAGUCAUGUUACAUUUAUUACUCAGUUGAUAAUCGUGUUACAGUAGAAAUCGUGUUUCAUUUACUCCUCUGAACAUGACCUUGAAAGGUUUGCAGAUAAAGGUGCAUGAAAGAACCC